rnacentral:rRNA from 1 species
ACGCUGGCGGCAUGCUUUACACAUGCAAGUCGGACGGCAGCACAGAGAAGCUUGCUUCUUGGGUGGCGAGUGGCGAACGGGUGAGUAAUAUAUCGGAACGUACCGAGUAAUGGGGGAUAACUAAUCGAAAGAUUAGCUAAUACCGCAUAUUCUCUGAGGAGGAAAGCAGGGGACCUUCGGGCCUUGCGUUAUUCGAGCGGCCGAUAUCUGAUUAGCUAGUUGGUGGGGUAAAGGCCUACCAAGGCGACGAUCAGUAGCGGGUCUGAGAGGAUGAUCCGCCACACUGGGACUGAGACACGGCCCAGACUCCUACGGGAGGCAGCAGUGGGGAAUUUUGGACAAUGGGCGCAAGCCUGAUCCAGCCAUGCCGCGUGUCUGAAGAAGGCCUUCGGGUUGUAAAGGACUUUUGUCAGGGAAGAAAAGGCUGUUGCUAAUACCGACAGCUGAUGACGGUACCUGAAGAAUAAGCACCGGCUAACUACGUGCCAGCAGCCGCGGUAAUACGUAGGGUGCGAGCGUUAAUCGGAAUUACUGGGCGUAAAGCGAGCGCAGACGGUUACUUAAGCAGGAUGUGAAAUCCCGGGCUCAACCUGGGAACUGCGUUCUGAACUGGGUGACUAGAGUGUGUCAGAGGGAGGUAGAAUUCCACGUGUAGCAGUGAAAUGCGUAGAGAUGUGGAGGAAUACCGAUGGCGAAGGCAGCCUCCUGGGAUAACACUGACGUUCAUGCUCGAAAGCGUGGGUAGCAAACAGGAUUAGAUACCCUGGUAGUCCACGCCCUAAACGAUGUCAAUUAGCUGUUGGGCAACUUGAUUGCUUAGUAGCGUAGCUAACGCGUGAAAUUGACCGCCUGGGGAGUACGGUCGCAAGAUUAAAACUCAAACGAAUUGACGGGGACCCGCACAAGCGGUGGAUGAUG